UUCAGAUAUGUAUGGUUAGAAUCGACACUCAGUUAAACAACAGAAUCGAAUACUUUUGCACAAAUUAUGACGUGUGCCAGAUCUACGCCUCUGUAGGCUGUGACCCAUCCCAUGGUCAGACUUGCUACUACUGCUGUACCGAUGUCG
rnacentral:sRNA from 1 species